UGAGCCGUGGUGCAGUGGCAGCACAGAGGACUUUGGAUCCUUUGACCGUGGUUCGAAUCCACGCGGCUCAGCCU
rnacentral:tRNA from 1 species